GACAGAGGGUGCAAACGUUGUUCGGAAUUACUGGGCGUAAAGCGUGUGUAGGCGGCCAAGCAAGUCGGAUGUGAAAGCCCAGGGCUCAACCCUGGAAGUGCACUCGAUACUGCUUGGCUUGAGUAUCGGAGAGGUUGGUGGAAUUCUCGGUGUAGAGGUGAAAUUCGUAGAUAUCGAGAGGAACACCGGCGGCGAAGGCGGCCAGCUGGACGAAUACUGACGCUGAGACACGAAAGCGUGGGGAGCAAACAGG
rnacentral:rRNA from 1 species